rnacentral:rRNA from 1 species
AGUGAACGCUGGCGGCAGGCCUAAUACAUGCAAGUCGAACGGCAGCACAGUGGAGCUUGCUCCAUGGGUGGCGAGUGGCGGACGGGUGAGGAAUACAUGGGAAUCUGCCCAGUCGUGGGGGAUAACGUAGGGAAACUUACGCUAAUACCGCAUGCGCCCUUCGGGGGAAGGCCGGGGACCGUAAGGCCUGGCGCGAUUGGAUGAGCCCAUGUCGGAUUAGCUAGUUGGCGGGGUAACGGCCCACCAAGGCGACGAUCCGUAGCUGGUCUGAGAGGAUGAUCAGCCACACUGGAACUGAGACACGGUCCAGACUCCUACGGGAGGCAGCAGUAGGGAAUAUUGGACAAUGGGCGCAAGCCUGAUCCAGCCAUGCCGCGUGAGUGAAGAAGGCCCUCGGGUUGUAAAGCCCUUUUGUACGGGAAGAAAGCCGCGGUUGAACAUUCCGUGGUCAUGACGGUACCGUAAGAAUAAGCACCGGCUAACUUCGU